rnacentral:rRNA from 1 species
CAAGGGGAGUGGCAGACGGGUGAGUAACGCGUGGGAACAUACCCUUUCCUGCGGAAUAGCUCCGGGAAACUGGAAUUAAUACCGCAUACGCCCUACGGGGGAAAGAUUUAUCGGGGAAGGAUUGGCCCGCGUUGGAUUAGCUAGUUGGUGGGGUAAAGGCCUACCAAGGCGACGAUCCAUAGCUGGUCUGAGAGGAUGAUCAGCCACAUUGGGACUGAGACACGGCCCAAACUCCUACGGGAGGCAGCAGUGGGGAAUAUUGGACAAUGGGCGCAAGCCUGAUCCAGCCAUGCCGCGUGAGUGAUGAAGGCCUUAGGGUUGUAAAGCUCUUUCACCGAUGAAGAUAAUGACGGUAGUCGGAGAAGAAGCCCCGGCUAACUUCGUGCCAGCAGCCGCGGUAAUACGAAGGGGGCUAGCGUUGUUCGGAAUUACUGGGCGUAAAGCGCACGUAGGCGGAUAUUUAAGUCAGGGGUGAAAUCCCGCAGCUCAACUGCGGAACUGCCUUUGAUACUGGGUAUCUUGAGUAUGGAAGAGGUAAGUGGAAUUCCGAGUGUAGAGGUGAAAUUCGUAGAUAUUCGGAGGAACACCAGUGGCGAAGGCGGCUUACUGGUCCA